CACGCGCUGUCUGUGUGGUUUCACUGUUACAAGUUUCUUGGCGACAUGGGGGAAAGUUCCUCACAUACCAACGGAAAAUGGGCUUCACAUACAUGCUGCUGUCUCAUAAUAUGGCGAAGACGAGUCACUUGAAGGCCUAACAGCUCUUAUGAGGAGCAGUCUUGCCAUAGAAGACUGAAAGAAUGUAAGAUUAACUUCUUUGUGACCAAUAUGACUUGCUCAUUGAUACAUUAGCUAUGUCAAUAUGAGAUGCAUGGCGAAGUAUUUAAUUUAUUUGUCUCUCUUCUAGGAGCUGUAGAAACAACAGGGUGCCUGCUGCAGUAUGACGAGGACGCCCUGAUCAUAGAAGGUCCAGUGUCUUGGCAGGGUGAAAUGGCACUGAUAUCGUGUCCUGCAGGAUGCUGUGUCCUGCAAUCCUGUGUGCUGUGCUACAGACGCGUGUGGAGGUCAACCCGAAAUGGGCACAGUAGCGUGAAAGAGGAUCCUGGCAGGGAGACGGUAGUGUCCUGCAGGAUGGUGAUGGGCAAUCUUACAAGAGACCACAGAAAACUGAUAUAGUGUAAGAUUAUCCCUGUUGGGCUCAAUAUGUCUUGCUUAUUGAUAUAUUUGCUAUGUCAAUAUGAGGUGCAUGACGAAGUAUUUAUUUAUUUGUUGUUUCUACAGCUCCCAGAAGUGAGACUGAGUGCCUGUUGCAGUAUGACGAGGAAGCAGUGACCAGAGACCUUCAGUAGACCCUGCUGGCAUGAUUGGCGGCUGAAGAACAUAAUCAACAGCAAUGUUUAUAAUAUUGUACAUACCUGUAGUCUGCACUAAAAUGCUGUACCUGUACUAUUUUUCCUCUUACUUUCAUAUUUACUAUGAAUUGACAACUUUUACUCAAAUCCAUUUUUGUAUGUGCCCUGACUAAAACUAUCCUUAAACCUAACCUGUCAGAGGUGUAAUAACAACCUGCUCUUAGCAAUGUGGCAGCAGUCCACUUGGAUGCAGCGGGGAACAUAGAACCCUUUUUUUGAAAAAGCAUUGUAUGUUUCUGAGUUUUAUGAAUUGUGCCCUUCCCAAACCUAACCUGUCGU